rnacentral:rRNA from 1 species
UGCACUAAAUGAAACUAGAUACAAGCGAGCGGCGGACGGGUGAGUAACACGUGGGUAACCUGCCCAAGAGACUGGGAUAACACCUGGAAACAGAUGCUAAUACCGGAUAACAACACUAGACGCAUGUCUAGAGUUUGAAAGAUGGUUCUGCUAUCACUCUUGGAUGGACCUGCGGUGCAUUAGCUAGUUGGUAAGGUAACGGCUUACCAAGGCAAUGAUGCAUAGCCGAGUUGAGAGACUGAUCGGCCACAUUGGGACUGAGACACGGCCCAAACUCCUACGGGAGGCAGCAGUAGGGAAUCUUCCACAAUGGACGAAAGUCUGAUGGAGCAACGCCGCGUGAGUGAAGAAGGGUUUCGGCUCGUAAAGCUCUGUUGGUAGUGAAGAAAGAUAGAGGUAGUAACUGGCCUUUAUUUGACGGUAAUUACUUAGAAAGUCACGGCUAACUACGUGCCAGCAGCCGCGGUAAUACGUAGGUGGCAAGCGUUGUCCGGAUUUAUUGGGCGUAAAGCGAGUGCAGGCGGUUCAAUAAGUCUGAUGUGAAAGCCUUCGGCUCAACCGGAGAAUUGCAUCAGAAACUGUUGAACUUGAGUGCAGAAGAGGAGAGUGGAACUCCAUGUGUAGCGGUGGAAUGCGUAGAUAUAUGGAAGAACACCAGUGGCGAAGGCGGCUCUCUGGUCUGCAACUGACGCUGAGGCUCGAAAGCAUGGGUAGCGAACAGGAUUAGAUACCCUGGUAGUCCAUGCCGUAAACGAUGAGUGCUAAGUGUUGGGAGGUUUCCGCCUCUCAGUGCUGCAGCUAACGCAUUUAAGCACUCCGCCUGGGGGAGUACGACCGCAAGGUUGAAACUCAAAGGAAUUGACGGGGGGCCCCGCACAAGCCGGUGGAAGCAUGUGGUUUAAUUCGAAGCAACC